rnacentral:misc_RNA from 1 species
AGUCCAUGGUGAUGUUUUCAGGCCACCUCUUAACUCUGGCCUGCUGUGUGUUUAUGUCGGAACCGGAGUUCAGUUCUUCGGGAUGACCCUGGUCACUGUGAUAUUUGCAUUAUUGGGAUUCCUCUCUCCCUCAAACCGUGGGGGUUUAAUGACUGCCAUGGUUCUUCUGUGGGUCUUCAUGGGCAUAUUUGCUGGCUAUGCCUCGGCUCGUCUCUAUAAGAUGUUCAAAGGAGGAGAAUGGAAGAAGAUCACCUUGAAAACUGCAUUCAUGUUCCCUGCUAUUGUCUUCUCUGUCUUCUUUGUGCUGAAUGCUUUAAUCUGGGGGGAGAAGUCAUCUGGUGCAGUUCCUUUCGGUACCAUGUUUGCUCUGGUAUUCCUGUGGUUUGGUAUAUCAGUGCCAUUAGUCUUUGUGGGGAGCUAUCUAGGUUUCAAGAAACCGGCCAUUGAGGAUCCUGUGAAGACCAACAAGAUACCGAGGCAGAUACCCGAGCAGGCUUGGUAUAUGCAGCCAGUGUUCUCGAUACUGAUUGGUGGUAUACUUCCAUUUGGCGCAGUCUUCAUCGAGCUCUUCUUCAUCCUUACGUCCAUUUGGCUGAACCAGUUCUAUUACAUCUUUGGGUUUCUCUUCAUAGUCUUUGUGAUCCUUCUCAUAACUUGCGCGGAGAUAACAAUUGUGCUCUGUUACUUCCAGCUCUGCAGUGAGGAUUACUACUGGUGGUGGAGGGCGUAUCUUACUGCUGGUUCCUCUGCACUCUACCUUUUCCUAUAUUCAGUAUUCUAUUUCUUCACCAAGCUGGAAAUAACUAAGUUUGUAUCGGGCGUCCUCUACUUUGGGUAUAUGCUGAUUGUGUCUUAUGCAUUCUUUGUGUUGACGGGUACCAUCGGCUUCUACGCCUGUUUCUGGUUUGUGCGCAAGAUAUACUCCUCAGUGAAGAUAGAUUGAUGCUGUGCCAGGAAAUGCUAGGGUUUUAUCAGGUUCUUGGGUGUAAUUGGCAUGGAGAUCGUACUGGGGUCAGUUCGUAAAAAAGUUGGUCACUAAUGGAGGCUUAUCUCAGUGUUUACCUACCCGGCGUAGUCAUACAUUUUCCAGAUUUAACACUUCUAAUUGUAUGUGGCCAAAAGGAGUGCUAGAUUCAAAUUAGUUUGCAUCUGUUUCCUUCAGAACUGAUGUUAUUGGUCAUUAUAUUGUAACUCUUUUUUGCUCUAGUAUUGUGUCGAUGUAGUAAACAUUUGCUGUCUUAAAAGUUCUGAGUAUAGGUUUGGCAGCCCUGAUAAUGGGGGUAUGAUGUUUGUUAGAAUUUAAGUUUGUAAGAACAAUCUUAUUUCACUUUGC